rnacentral:lncRNA from 1 species
AAAAAAUGCCAUGGAUUCAAGUGCCAGAUAAUCCUGCCUCUUUAAAUAAAGACAAGUUCUCUUUCUCAGGCCCUGUCACAUGGUUGCUAGGUGACAUGUAAACACUAGAGCUGAAUGAAAGACAGGAGAACUUCAAAGAAAUUCCAAAGGAUGAAAGGAGGGAAGCACUCUUUGAUGCUUUUUAGUCCUGGACAGUUCCCCGAUCUGUCUAGUCUGUUGGGGUAGAUUAAUAUAUCAGCUUUGCAUGAUUUUAAUAAAACAGCACAGCUGUAUGGAGAACGAAGGCCAGGUGUAGAAAUAAGAAAUACGGCUUUCUCCUCACUUGUACCUAUACUAGAGACCCAGCAAUUGUAUGAGGAAAGUAAGUAUAUUUCUAGGCUAACAAUGGUAUUUUAACAAUAUGUUUGUUGAUUUAUUUACUUGAGUAUUUAUAUUCUGCCUAUCAUUCAAAGGUUCCAGGGUGUUGAUCACAAACUGCUCCCAUAGUCUCACAUCAAGUUUUAUGCCAGUGGAAAACAACACUAUUCAGCUUUCUAUGACAACUAAAAUCUUUGAGAAAAGAAGUGAUGCCAAAGUUAAAGGGGAAAGCGAAGCCAAGAUCAGAUGUCUAUAUUUUAGAAAAGUUCCUACAAACCUAUGAAAAGCACUGUGUAGAAUCCCAAAGCUAUGUCAGUCCAACCAUCAAACAGGACUUACAAAAGUGUAUUGCAAAUAAAAUGUUAAUCACUAAGUUUGUGCUUACAAAUGCUGAGACCUUAUCAAGAGACAUGCGUCCAGUUUCUCUAACCCCUUUAUUAAAGGCUAUUCGAGAUGAACGUUACCAGAUGGGAAAGGAGC